CAAGAAAAAUAUUCAUAAAAAUUUUUCACCCAGAAUUGAUUCACCCAGAUAUUCGUCGAGAUGAUACUGAGCAGAACAGUUUUAGUUACGAUGCUAUUUUUUGCUUUUGUAUCUUCAGCUUCAAUAAAUCAUAUUGAAAACGAAAUGGUUGAUGCUAAAGAGAAGCGAAUUUUUCCAUUAUUAGCUUUGGGAUCUUUGGGAUCUUUGGGAUUUUUGAGAUUGUCCCGUGGUUUUUUAGGGAGAACUACUGAUAGAUUACAAAAGGCAAAAAAAUACGGAAACUGAAUAUCAUUUAAAUCAAUCGCAUCUAAGAUACAUUUUUAUUCUCAUCUAAAUGUAAAAACUAUGUUUAAUUAUUUAUAACAGCAAAACAAAUUUUAAUUAAAUCAAUUACAAAAAUAAUAUUAAAUUUAUAAUAAAUUUUCUCAUAUUUUUCUGAAAUAAACUAUUUAUUGAUGCGAUAUUUAUCUUUGUAAGCUUAAAUGGAUUCAGUAAUUCCAUAAUAUAAGCAUGUUAAUCUGUGAAUAUAAAUUUUUGAUGUAUUCUUUAACUUACUAAAUAUAUAAAAAUUAUGUCCAUAUAUAACAUGCGUGUGUGUAUAUAUAGAUUUAUAUUUUUUUCAUGGUGUAUUUGGAUUAUUCUAUGUAUAGAACAAACAGUUUUUUAUCAUUUAUAACAUUCCGGAUAAAGGAACUGCAUUGUGCUACUUAUAAAGAUGGAUUAAAUGUAGGAAGAUAAGCUUUCAGAAUCAGAUGUCUGCAUACAUCGAUUCAGUAUUGUUUUCGCGUGUAAUAACUUUACCUUUCUGCACUCAAAUAAUUUAAAUAAAAAGAAAAUUAAAUAAGUUUAUUUAAAGUAUUAUACAUCUUACCGAAAUUUAAAGUGAUUAAUAUUAUUUUUUUACUAUUCGUAUCGUAACUCGAAUAACAAAUAGGUUUCUGUCU
rnacentral:lncRNA from 1 species